CCCGUCCCCUUCCUCUCUGUGCGGGUGGACAGCGGAGCUGCAGCAUCCACCGGGCCACGGCGGGACCCGAGUUCCAGCCGGACAGCGGCCGCGCGCGGGCUCCGGCUUUGGUCUCUACAGGCGAAGGCCGCCUGAGGGUCGGAGGCUGAGGGGAGCAGCGCUCCCCACGCCCUGGCCGGCCUGGCCCACCACCCAGAGGCGCACCCCGCUGGGGCUCAAUAGGGCUCUGUACUAGUUUCGGGGUACUCUCUGCUGCUCAUCCGCUGAGGCACCAGCACACAGUGCCACCUCGGCUCCGGGCGGUCCGGCUACCCUGCGGGCUCUGUCUUCAUCUGAAGAGAAAGAACCCCGCAGAGCCCGAGUUCGAAGCCCGGCCGUUCGCAGCCGCUGCUGCCUCAGCCCUUCGGAGGCGGAAGUUUAUUGAGUACAGGAGAGGAGAGGCUUUUCCCUAGGAUGCUUCCUACCCGCUCGCACUCGGGGAUCCUGACGCCCGCGAUGCUGAGCCGAGUGCCGAAGGGCUACCUCCGACAGACCGUCCGGGAGGGCGAGCUGGGCGGGAGGACCCAGCCGCGCAGCCAGGGCACACAAAGUAGUCGCGGGCCGAAGGGGUGCUGCCGGGGCCAAUCAGAGCGGGAAAACCAGUGAGUGGAGUGCGAACUGGCCAAUCAGAGGGCCGGAAGAUGAGCUUCCCGUGCCGAACUCUUCCCUGUAGCCUGGGGACCAGAUCCCAAGCCUGAGGACUCAGCCGGGUGACUGAGUAGAAAAGCUGCCCUCAAGACAAUUAUUCCUCCCAGCACAGAUAAAUACUAGUAAAUACUUUGGAAACGUAUCUCUGAGUAAACAGGGCCACCCUUUUAUAUGCUAGUAAUCAAAAAAACACAGAAAAGACAUUAAAGAGGUCGUAGCCUGCCAAGAAUGCAACCUACCUAAUAACUCUCAUAAAUUCCCAAUGUUUAUUCUAUAUCAGGAACUGUGUUUCUAAAAUGCAAAGGACAGUGCUUUUUAAAAAGGAAAAAAAAAAAAAUGCCUGUGCCUUCAGGAGCUCCGCACCCUGAGAAGCUUUUCCGGACCUGUGACUGGGUUAAUGUCUCUUCGAAAUAAAGCUCUCUGAGAAAACACCGUGGCUUAUUGAAGGUCACACAAAACUCUGGUGAAGUCAGAAUUAUGAUCUAGCCAAAAAGCUUGGGUGUCAUCAUUCAACAAAUCUGUAGUCAUUUAUUAAAUGCGUAGAUAACUUCCGUGAGACUCUCAGUUCUCUGUUGCAAAUAAGCAAAAUUUAGGCUUAUACUGUACUUAGAUGGAUUAAGGGCUAAAAUUUCAACAGUCAAAACCCUGAAUUAUUUUUCCUUUUGUGUGAGUAUGUGCAUGCUAAGGGUGUGUUUUCUCCUGGGCUACACCCACAGCCUGGAACAUUUUUAGGAGUCAGAGGUAAAAUGUUUACUUUGAGGCUUCAGCACAGCAUUUAAAAAGCACUUUAACAAGGAUGUAUGGCUUGAAUGUAUUCAAGGGAAAAAGAGGAACCAUUUCUAGUUAAUUAACACACGCUACCAUUUGCAGUACUUGAAGAUCUCUACAUUCAAAGUUUUAUGUGUGCCUCGAACUCUCUGCUCCUUUAAUCUGGCUUUAAUUAUCUCCUAGGAAAUAUUAAAACUAUAGGAAUCAAAGCAUCCCACCUACUUUCUAUUUAAGAAAAAGCCACUAGAAAUAUUUGUGAAGAACUUAGUACAUCUUUAUAGAACAGCAUAGUAUAUAAGAAAGCGCCAAACUGAUGACUCUGAAAUACAGUGAGAAAGUAGUUCUUCAGCAGUUCAGGUCUCUGCUCAGUGUCACAGUACGCUGCUCUCAAAGAUCCUUCAGGCCAUGCUCAGGAUAUAGUUACCAUCCCAGAAUUAGAAGUAUCAGCUAAGCAACUGAUAUGUGGGAACAAAUCUUUUCACAUUCAGUUCUAGACCAGUAAUGAAUUUCUGGAAAAUUCAAACAAGAAGUAAUACUAACUGAGCUCUUUGAAAACUACAGUCUUAAAUCGAUCGAUUGCUGCGACGCAUACCUGAUUCUAGCACUGAGGAGGGAAAGCUGAGGCCAAAGGAUUGUUUUAAGUUAUAGUCUAGCCUGGACUAUCUAGUGAGCUAGAAAGACCCUGUCUCAAAUAAUAGUAGUGACUAAUUGAUUCCAAAAAAAAUUGGGAAGGAAGGCUCAGUUUUGGGAGUGUUUGUCUAGCAUACUACAAAUCCUAGAUUCAACCUCCAACACUAUAAAGGAAAAUAUAUAUAUAUAUUACUACAUGUCUUCUAUUCUCUCCAAAGGGACUCUGUAACUCAAAUCUUCCACAAGCCAGUUAAGUGUUAACCGGUUGUACACAUCACUCACAGAGAGCACACCUUGUGAGGGCGUUUUCUCUAUAGUCUGCAGCCUCCCACUCUGUGGCUGAAACUCCUCACACUCUCUCUUCUCGCUCCAGCUGCUCACUUGGGUCUCUAGUCCCUGGCUUCUGAUUUGCAUUAACACAAGAUGGGAUGUCACCUCAUCCCCCACUGUUCCCUUCUGAAAUGAAGUCAUGAGCCUAUCUUUACUUAGCCUCAAAAUCACAGACAGGUUCAGC
rnacentral:lncRNA from 1 species